AUUGAACGCUGGCGGCAGGCCUAACACAUGCAAGUCGAACGAGUGGCGGACGGGUGAGUAAUGUCUGGGAAACUGCCUGCUGGAGGGGGAUAACUACUGGAAACGGUAGCUAAUACCGCAUACCAUCGGAUGUGCCCAGAUGGGAUUAGCUAGUAGGUGGGGUAACGGCUACCCUAGGCUACGAUCCCUAGCUGGUCUGAGAGGAUGACCAGCCACACUGGAACGGAGACACGUUCCAGACUCCUACGGGAGGAGGCAGUGGGGAAGAUUGCACAAGGGGCGCAAGCCUGAUGCAGCCAUGCCGCGUGUAUGAAGAAGGCCUUCGGGUUGUAAGGUACUUUCAGCGGGGAGGCGUUACCCGCAGAAGAAGCGCCGGCUAACUCCGUGCCAGCAGCCGCGGUAAUAC
rnacentral:rRNA from 1 species